AAUGAACGCUGGCGGUAUGCCUAACACAUGCAAGUCGAACGGGAGCACAGGAACUGCUUGCUCUUACGGGUGUCGCGUGGCGGACGGGUGCGUUAUGCAUCGGAAUCUACUUUUUCGGGGGUGCUAACGUAGGGAAACGUACGCUAAUACCGCAUACGACCUACUGGUGAAAGCAGGGGAUCUUUUGACCUGUUGCGAGUGUAUGAGCCGAUGUCGGAUUGGAUAGUUGGCUGGGCAAAGGCUAACCAAGGCGACGAUGCGUAGCUGGUCUGAGAGGAUGCUCAGCCACACUGGAACUGGGAGACGGUCCAGCACACUGCGAGAGGGAGAAGUCGGGAAUAUUGGACAAUGGGCGCAAGCCUGAUCAAGCCAUAACGCGCGGGAGACGAAGGCAGCAGGGUUGCAAAGCUGUUUUGUUGGGAAAGAAAGGAAGCAGGUUAAACCCCCGAUGAUAUGAAGGUACCCAAAGAAUAAGCCCCGGCUAACUUCGUG
rnacentral:rRNA from 1 species